rnacentral:rRNA from 1 species
ACGGGGGGGGCAAGCGUUGUUCGGAAUUACUGGGCGUAAAGGGCUCGUAGGUGGCCAACUAAGUCGGACGUGAAAUCCCUCGGCUUAACCGGGGAACUGCGUCCGAUACUGGUUGGCUUGAGUUUGGGAGAGGGAUGCGGAAUUCCAGGUGUAGCGGUGAAAUGCGUAGAUAUCCGGAGGAACACCGGUGGCGAAGGCGGCUUCCUGGACCGACACUGACGCUGAGGCGCGAAAGCUAGGGGAGCAAACGGGA